UCUCUCAGUGAAUGUUUUGGUCAUCCUACCCUCCAAGGGACAAGGACCAGCUGAAGUUUCUGCUGACAGCAAAGGAACAUGGAAUGGGUAGGAAAAAAAAGCAACAACUUAAUACAUACUAUGACCACAUGACCAGUUUCAGAAGCAAGGCCUAGAGAAGCAAGCACCAGGUUAUUAAGGAGUUCCUAGUAAAAUACAGAGAAGUGAAGAGCCAGCUUCAGGCAGAAUGAACCUAACACUUGUUUCUUGAAAAGAAGCGAAGCUCCUGAGAAACACUUUUGCUGGCUCUAAAAACAAAAGAGUGAUGCCUGGAAUGUCAGCAACCAUCCUGUGCUUGUGGAGCAAACUUGAGUAGAAGCCAAAAACUAAGGAUGGCAGAAAGAUGAAGCGGCCUGGGCCUCAGAUAGAGCUGCCUUAAUAACCCUGUACUGCCUACGACUACUCUUUUUUCACAAGAAAGACGAAGCCUCUAUUCACUGGGUCACUUUACCUUGGUCUCCAUUUCUUGUAGGAAAACAGGGGUCCCUGUUUUAAUUCCACAUCGGAACUAGGCCAAGGAUGCAGUGGAAGGAGACAGAUGUGGUUAGAGAGCCUCGGAGUCCAUCCCUGCAUGGCAUCCCUGAAUCCCUGAAUCCCUGCAUCACUGCACUACCUCACUCUGGGGGACAUGAUGCCUUCUUGCCAGACACAUAAUGAAGACAAAUCCUAUGCAUGAGCCUCUAUAGGAAAUGCUGGAUGUGAAGCUGCAUUUCAACUCCCAGUAUAAUCCAUGAUGGACAAAUCAUUUGGACUCCGACCCUGAGGCAA